CCCCUCUCAGUGUCACACCUGGAGAGUUUCCAGUACUCUACCAGUCUCGACUACGGGAGGAAGGGUCAAUCAGAGGCCUACCCAUUCCAUUCCUAGAUUGGGCAGUAGCUAGAGAGUGGAAGGUGAUCUGCUACAAGU
rfam:Ornithorhynchus anatinus chromosome X5, whole genome shotgun sequence.